CGGCUCGCUCGUUUAGUAAACGAGCCAAACACGAGCUGAAUUUUUCAGCUCGUUCAAUAAACGAACCGAACACGAGCUGGGGUCAGUUCGUUCGUGUUCAGCUCGAUAACAGCUCGAAUACAUAUAUUUUAUAUUUAUAUAAUUUAUUUAAUUUAUAUUUUUAUAUAUAAAUAAAUAAUUAUAUAUAAUAUAUAUUUUUAUUAUUUUAUUUUUAGAAAAAUAAAAAUAUAAAUGCGAGCUUAAUUAUAAAAAGACUCAUUUAUAUGUAAAGUUUCAACUAUUAGAUCAAAGUCUAAUAGAUAAGAUUUGAUAAAUUUAUUUUUUAUAUAUAUUUAAUCAAAUUAUUUUUAAUUUAUUGUUCGUUGGCCAGCUCGUGAGCCAGCUCGAGCCGAACACGAACUGAAUUUUUCAGCUCGAUACUUUAACGAGCCAGCUCGUGUUCGGCUCGUUUAAUAAACGAGCUGAACGCGAGCCGACCCCAGCUCGCUCCUGUUCAGCUCCUUUACACCCCUAAUUGCACUAAGUAGUUAACCAUUUCAAUAAUUAUUUAAUUAAUUAACUAUCAAAUUAAUCAAUU
rnacentral:lncRNA from 1 species